UGGGUAACCUGCCUCAAAGAGGGGAAUAGCCUCCCCGAAAAGGGAAGAUUAAUACCGCAUAAUAUGUUUAGGUCGCAUGACUUUAACAUCAAAGGAUUUUCUUUUAGAAAUUCCACUUUGAGAUGGACCCCGCGGCGCAUUAGCUAGUUGGUGAGGUAACGGCUCACCAAGGCAACGAUGCGUAGCCGACCUGAGAGGGUGAUCGGCCACAUUGGAACUGAGACACGGUCCAGACUCCGUAGGGAGG
rnacentral:rRNA from 1 species